rnacentral:misc_RNA from 1 species
UAGCACUCCAGCAAACACAUCCUGUAAUAUACAAGGAGUCCGAAACUUUACUAGUAAGUAAUCUUUAGUAUUAUAAACUCAUGGCAUUUAUUGAUACAACUAAAACAAAGAUUGCCGAGAAAGGUACUAUUUAACGCAAGUUAAAAUACAAGUUAUUAAAGCAUUUAGUCAUGUAGAUGGUCAUAAGUUGAGAAGUCAUUGUACAACAAUGUUAUCAAGGCGAAAGAUAACAUUAAGACGACAGGAUACCUUAUAGCCUUAGGCAAGAGGUGAGAAGAGAAAUGAGGGCUUUUUUAAAGUGAGACGCCAUAACCUAAAUUGCUAUAUACACACGCGCACACACACACUCUUUUAACAUAA